GACGAACGCUGGCGGCGUGCUUAACACAUGCAAGUCGAACGGAAAGGCCCUGCUUUUGUGGGGUGCUCGAGUGGCGAACGGGUGAGUAACACGUGAGUAACCUGCCCUUGACUUUGGGAUAACUUCAGGAAACUGGGGCUAAUACCGGAUAGGAGCUCCUGCUGCAUGGUGGGGGUUGGAAAGUUUCGGCGGUUGGGGAUGGACUCGCGGCUUAUCAGCUUGUUGGUGGGGUAGUGGCUUACCAAGGCUUUGACGGGUAGCCGGCCUGAGAGGGUGACCGGCCACAUUGGGACUGAGAUACGGCCCAGACUCCUACGGGAGGCAGCAGUGGGGAAUAUUGCACAAUGGGCGGAAGCCUGAUGCAGCAACGCCGCGUGCGGGAUGACGGCCUUCGGGUUGUAAACUGCUUUCGCCUGUGACGAAGCGUGAGUGACGGUAAUGGGUAAAGAAGCACCGGCUAACUACGUGCCAGCAGCCGCGGUGAUACGUAGGGUGCGAGCGUUGUCCGGAUUUAUUGGGCGUAAAGGGCUCGUAGGUGGUUGAUCGCGUCGGAAGUGUAAUCUUGGGGCUUAACCCUGAGCGUGCUUUCGAUACGGGUUGACUUGAGGAAGGUAGGGGAGAAUGGAAUUCCUGGUGGAGCGGUGGAAUGCGCAGAUAUCAGGAGGAACACCAGUGGCGAAGGCGGUUCUCUGGGCCUUUCCUGACGCUGAGGAACGAAAGCGUGGGGAGCGAACAGGCUUAGAUACCCUGGUAGUCCACGCUGUAAACGGUGGGUACUAGGUGUGGGGUCCAUUCCACGGGUUCCGUGCCGUAGCUAACGCUUUAAGUACCCCGCCUGGGGAGUACGGCCGCAAGGCUAAAACUCAAAGGAAUUGACGGGGCCCCGCACAAGCGGCGGAGCAUGCGGAUUAAUUCGAUGCAACGCGUAGAACCUUACCUGGGUUUGACAUGGAUCGGGAGCGCUCAGAGAUGGGUGUGCCUCUUUUGGGGUCGGUUCACAGGUGGUGCAUGGCUGUCGUCAGCUCGUGUCGUGAGAUGUUGGGUUAAGUCCCGCAACGAGCGCAACCCUUGUUCACUGUUGCCAGCACGUUAUGGUGGGGACUCAGUGGAGACCGCCGGGGUCAACUCGGAGGAAGGUGGGGAUGACGUCAAGUCAUCAUGCCCCUUAUGUCCAGGGCUUCACGCAUGCUACAAUGGCUGGUACAGAGAGUGGCGAGCCUGUGAGGGUGAGCGAAUCUCGGAAAGCCGGUCUCAGUUCGGAUUGGGGUCUGCAACUCGACCUCAUGAAGUCGGAGUCGCUAGUAAUCGCAGAUCAGCAACGCUGCGGUGAAUACGUUCCCGGG
rnacentral:rRNA from 1 species